rnacentral:rRNA from 1 species
CAGCCGCCGCGGGAAUACGAAGGGUGCAAGCGUUACUCGGAAUUACUGGGCGUAAAGCGUGCGUAGGUGGUUGUUUAAGUCUGCUGUGAAAGCCCUGGGCUCAACCUGGGAAUUGCAGUGGAUACUGGGCGACUAGAGUAAGGUAGAGGAUAGUGGAAUUUCCGGUGUAGCAGUGAAAUGCGUAGAGAUCGGAAGGAACAUCUGUGGCGAAGGCGACUAUCUGGGCCAUUACUGACACUGAGGCACGAAAGCGUGGGGAGCAAACAGGAUUAGAUACCCCCGUAGUCCCUGUCUCUUAUAC